GAUGAAGAACGUAGCGAAAUGCGAUAAGUAGUGUGAAUUGCAGAAUUCAGUGAAUCAUCGAAUCUUUGAACGCACAUUGCGCCCCUUGGUAUCCCGAGGGGCAUGCCUGUUCGAGCGUCAUUUCACCACUCAAGCCUGGCUUGGUGUUGGGCGACGUCCUCUUUGGGGACGCGCCUCGAAACGCUCGGCGGCGUGGCACCGGCUUUAAGCGUAGCAGAAUCUUUCGCUUUGGAAGUCGGGGCCCCGUCUGCCGGAAGACCUGCUCGCAAGGUUGACCUCGUAUCAGGCAGGGAUACCCGCUGAACUUAAGCAUAUCAAUAAGCGGAGGA
rnacentral:misc_RNA from 1 species